rnacentral:rRNA from 1 species
GAUGAACGCUGGCGGCGUGCCUAACACAUGCAAGUCGAACGGAAAGACGAGGAGCUUGUGCGUCUGACGUUAGCGGCGGACGGGCGGGUAACGAGUGGAUCGGAUACUUAUAUGACUGGGAUAAUAACGGAGAAAAGGCGAUACUACAGGAGCAUAUAUUGAACCGCAUGGUUCAAUAGUGAUUGACGGUUUUGCUGUCACAUAUAGCUGGUUCCGCGCUGGAUUAGCUAGUUGGUAAGGUAACGGCUUACCAAGGCGACGAUGCGUAGCCGAGCUGAGAGGGUGAUCCGCCACACUGGAACUGAGACACGGUCCAGACUCCUACGGGAGGCAGCAGUCGGGAAUCUUCGGCAAUGGGCGAAAGCCUGACACAGCAACACCGCGUGAGUGAUGAAGGCCUUCGGUUCGUAAAGCCCUUUUGUUGGGAAAGAACAGCUGUGGAAGUAGCCACGGACGUCCUGACGGUACCCAAUCAAAAAGCCCCGGCUAACUUCGUG